rnacentral:lncRNA from 9 species
GCCCCAGGGAGGAGUGGAGUUCCGCCGCCGUGGAAUUCAAGCGGCGGCGGGGCCCCAACCUUUCUUCUGACUUGGGGCAUCUGCGGGGUCGCCGCCCUCCAUCGUCGCGCACACUAGAGGGCGGCGCUCUGGGCAGAGCCCUGGGCUGAGCGUCUUCAUCAAUGUUUGGGACGUCCCGGUACAGAGGCCCUCACCUUCCAACUGUGAAGCGAGGAAUCUGAGCUCCGAAGUGUUCAGAAUGCCCUCUCCCGGGGCUGCGUCCUCUGCACUCUGCCCAUCAACUCCCGCGCAGGGCCGGCGGAGGGGUCUGCCCGCCUCUCGCCUCUCGGUGCAGGGAGCCCACCGGGCGCACCUGCCCUCUCCUGAGCCCCCAACGCCGAGGACUGGGAGUGGAUCUCUGUGCCCAGGAGGCCUCAUCGCCUUGGGUCAGGUGUCCUGGAGCAGGAGACGGUGACCACCAAAGGUGACCAAGCCAGCUCAGGAUGAAGAAGAGUAUCUGCAUCCACCUGCUGCCUGGCCCCAAGCACAGCCCGUUUCAUCUCUGUUGAUACACCCCAUCACCGCUCCCAUAGUUCUCACAGGCAGCCAUCCUCUUCUCACCACGCCUACCCCAGUCCGGCCUCCCUGCGGGCCUUUUCCAAACCUCUCUGAAGCAGAAAGGACUUCGAAACCCCCAGCGCUGACCCGUCAUUCCCCAAGUCGAGACGCAGAGCUGGCUCCCCAUUGCCCUGAGUUCCAACUCCAUCUCUGCCCCGGGGCAUUUGCCAGACAGGCCGCCCACCCCCGCUGUAGCCUAGCACCACCCCCAAACGGUGCAACCAGCUUCCAGCCCCCAGUCGAAAGGACUUCCUGACCCUGGAACUCAAAAGUCAAACCAGGUUCCCAGGUAAAAUGGUCUUGCAUUCCCACCGCUCUCUGCCCCACCCAGGCUGAGCCUUCUAGUGAAAAGAAGCUCUUACAACUCUGUUGAGUAUGUUUGCACAUCGCUAGUCAUAGCUAACCUCCCGAAACAAAGCAACAUGGCAGGUAAAGCAAUUUAACAAAAGCAGAUGCUUUUCUUUAUUGUCUGAGUUUUAAAUCCUUUUAUAUCCCUCCCCAAAUGCGGUCAGGCUCAGAAAAAUCACAGGUAGAAAGGGCAGAGAGAAUGAAAGCUAGAGGAGGGAGCUCCCAUCGUGGUGCAGUGGAAACGAGUCCGACUAGGAGCCCUGAGGAUUUGGGUUUGAUCCCUGGCCUCGCUCAGUGGGUUGAGGAUCUGGCGUUGCCAUGAGCGGUGUGUGUGCGUACAUCGCAGACGAGGCUUGGAUCCUGCAUGGCUGUGCCUGUGGCAUAGGCUGGCAGCUGUAGCUCCGAUGUGACCCCUAGCCUGGAAACUUCAGGUGCCGUUCUCAAAAGCAAAACAAAAUCAAAACUAGAGGAGAAAUCAUUUUGGAGAUCCGUUUUUUAGAACAUUAACUACGCUUUGCCCAAUGGGAGCCAGUUGGCAAAUGAACCUGUUUCCGUGAACAGUUUUUAUAAAUACACUAUUUCUCUAGGCAGAUGAUAGGAGCAUGUCUGGGUACCCUCCCCCUUCCCCCAGAUCCCUCCACCAGGCCACAGCCAACUUCAGUCCUCGUGGGAAUCCUUCCCCGCCCCCCAAAGCUGGUGAGUCUUCCGGGCUACAUUUUCGUGGCUCCCAGCUUCUCUGAAGGGGAAACACAUCUUUCCUUGUAAUUCCUGGUCCAGUGUCUCCUGGCUGAGCUGGGUUGGGCGUGGCAGGUGGCCCUGGAUAAGCGGAUAAGCGGGGGAGCUUCAGUCUUUCGUCAGCUUGUUACAUGUGUUACCCUUCACAACAAGCCUGUGGAGUGAGUGCCUUUAUUCUUUUCGCAAGGAGGAAAUAAGUGGAGAAUGAGAGAGGUUGCAAAGCUCCCCAAGGACCCACAGGCAGCAGACCCAACCACAGAAGUCACCACUGGCAAAGACAGAGGCUGCACUCCCAACCAGACUACGUAAUACACCCUCGAUGGUCUUACAGGACGGAUGGACGCACCCACGGACGGGGCGGAUGCACGGAUGCACAGAUGGAUGGAUGAAAGGCAAGACAGCAGCCUUUGUCAAUCGGAGGGUCUGUGGAAGCGGCAGAGCUGAAAUUAAGAGCAUCACCUUUUUUAAAACUUUUUUAAAAUGUCUGCCUUUUUAGGGCCGCACCCGCGGCAUAUGGAGGUUCCCAGGCUAGGGGGCGAAUCGGAGCUGCAGCUGCCAGCCUACACCACAGCUACAGCAACACGGAAUCCAAGCCACGUCUUUGACUGACACCACACCUCAUGGCGAGGCAGGAUCCUUAACCCACGGAGCAAGGCCAGGGAUCGAACCCGCAGCCUCAUGGAUAUCAGUUGGGUUUGUUAACUGCUGAGCCAUGACGGCAACUCCAAGAACACCACCUUCUGAUAGGACUCAAAGCUUUUGAAAAAGCGUAUUUUGUCACGUAGUGAUAAAUAUUGCAUCAGGGACAGAACUUGAUCAGGGCUUGCCGGGAGGUGACAGAGGAACAGA